GACGAACGCUGGCGGCGUGCUUAACACAUGCAAGUCGAACGGUAAGGCCCUUCGGGGUACACGAGUGGCGAACGGGUGAGCAACACGUGGGUGAUCUGCCCUGCACUUCGGGAUAAGCCUGGGAACCUGGGUCUAAUACCGGAUAGGACUCCGGACUGCAUGGUCUGGGGUGGAAAGCUUUUGCGGUGUGGGAUGGGCCCGCGGCCUAUCAGCUUGUUGGUGGGGGGAUGGCCUACCAAGGCGACGACGGGUAGCCGGCCUGAGAGGGUGACCGGCCACACUGGGACUGAGAUACGGCCCAGACUCCUACGGGAGGCAGCAGUGGGGAAUAUUGCACAAUGGGCGCAAGCCUGAUGCAGCGACGCCGCGUGAGGGAUGACGGCCUUCGGGUUGUAAACCUCUUUCAGCAUCGACGAAGCGAAAGUGACGGUAGGUGCAGAAGAAGGACCGGCCAACUACGUGCCAGCCGCCGCCGUAA
rnacentral:rRNA from 1 species